UCCGCCGCGCUUGGGAGGGCGGUGACCGGAGGACGCUGGCGAGUAGCGGAGGAGCGAAGAGACUUAGCCGCCACUGCGCCGCCGCCACCCAGAAUUGCUGGCUUUGUUCUAGCUCUCUCCCUCUGCCCACCUAGCUGCUCCCAUAAUGCUGUGGGUUUUGCAUCCCUAAACCCCUUUGGUCCUUAGUCCGGGGGUCCCGUAUACCCGGAGACUACAGGUGUGGGUCCCCCGCCCUCCUGAAUCCCGCAGGUCCAGGAUCCGCUGACUCCAGCUCUCUCCAAAAGACGAUGUCACACACAGCCUCUCUAGCAGUCUUACUGAAGAUUCGGGAUUCAAAGGCUUGGAAGAAUGAGCAAGUCAAUGUGGGGAGGAAGAAAAUAAUAAAUUAA
rnacentral:lncRNA from 1 species